AGGAGUGGCGGCGUGCUAUACAUGCAAGUCGAACGCUUUUUCUUUCACCGGAGCUUGCUCCACCGAAAGAAAAGGAGUGGCGAACGGGUGAGUAACACGUGGGUAACCUGCCCAUCAGAAGGGGAUAACACUUGGAAACAGGUGCUAAUACCGUAUAACAAUCGAAACCGCAUGGUUUCGGUUUGAAAGGCGCUUUUGCGUCACUGAUGGAUGGACCCGCGGUGCAUUAGCUAGUUGGUGAGGUAACGGCUCACCAAGGCAACGAUGCAUAGCCGACCUGAGAGGGUGAUCGGCCACAUUGGGACUGAGACACGGCCCAAACUCCUACGGGAGGCAGCAGUAGGGAAUCUUCGGCAAUGGACGCAAGUCUGACCGAGCAACGCCGCGUGAGUGAAGAAGGUUUUCGGAUCGUAAAACUCUGUUGUUAGAGAAGAACAAGGAUGAGAGUAGAAUGUUCAUCCCUUGACGGUAUCUAACCAGAAAGCCACGGCUAACUACGUGCCAGCAGCCGCGGUAAUACGUAGGUGGCAAGCGUUGUCCGGAUUUAUUGGGCGUAAAGCGAGCGCAGGCGGUUUCUUAAGUCUGAUGUGAAAGCCCCCGGCUCAACCGGGGAGGGUCAUUGGAAACUGGGAAACUUGAGUGCAGAAGAGGAGAGUGGAAUUCCAUGUGUAGCGGUGAAAUGCGUAGAUAUAUGGAGGAACACCAGUGGCGAAGGCGGCUCUCUGGUCUGUAACUGACGCUGAGGCUCGAAAGCGUGGGGAGCAAACAGGAUUAGAUACCCUGGUAGUCCACGCCGUAAACGAUGAGUGCUAAGUGUUGGAGGGUUUCCGCCCUUCAGUGCUGCAGCUAACGCAUUAAGCACUCCGCCUGGGGGAGUACGACCGCAAGUGAAACUCAAAGGAAUGACGGGGCCCGCACAAGCGGUGGAGCAUGUGGUUUAAUUCGAAGCACCGCGAAGAACUUACAGUCUGACAUCUUUGACCACUCUAGAAGAUAGAGCUCCUCGGGCAAGUGACAGUGUGCAUGUGUCGUCAGCUCUGUCUGAAUGUGGGUAGUCGCACGAGCGCACUAUUGUAGUUGCAUCAUUAGUGGACUCUAGCGAAACUGCGGUUACAACCG
rnacentral:rRNA from 1 species